GAUGAAGAACGUAGCGAAAUGCGAUAAGUAAUGUGAAUUGCAGAAUUCAGUGAAUCAUCGAAUCUUUGAACGCACAUUGUGCCCCUUGGUAUUCCGAGGGGCAUGCCUGUUCGAGCGUCAUUAUAACCCCUCAAGCUCAGCUUGGUGUUGGGGCCUGCUGCACUGGCAGCCCUUAAAAUCAGUGGCGGCGCCAUCUGGCUCUAAGCGUAGUAAUUCUUCUCGCUAUGGAGUCCUGGUGGAUGCUUGCCAUCAACCCCCAAUUUUUCUAUGGUUGACCUCGGAUCAGGUAGGGAUACCCGCUGAACUUAAGCAUAUCAAUAAGCGGAGGA
rnacentral:misc_RNA from 1 species